GUCCGCAACGAGCGCAACCCCUAUCUUUAGUUGCCAUCAUUGAGUUGGGCACUCUAAAGAGACUGCCGGUGUCAAACCGGAGGAAGGUGGGGAUGACGUCAAGUCCUCAUGGCCUUUAUGACCAGGGCUACACACGUACUACAAUGGCCGGUACAAAGGGCAGCGACACAGCGAUGUGAAGCGAAUCCCGAAAAGCCGGUCUCAGUCCGGAUUGGAGUCUGCAACUCGACUCCAUGAAGUUGGAAUCGCUAGUAAUCGCGGAUCAGCACGCCGCGGUGAAUACGUUCCCGGGCCUU
rnacentral:rRNA from 1 species